ensembl:snoRNA
CAGCAUUGUGCAUUGACCUUUGGUUUUUCUCAUAACCAAUUAGGUCUGAAAGCAAUGCAAGAGAAACUUCCUUUUUCCACGAGAAACAUCCCUGCAGUGGGUUGUUCCUAUCGACAGGAGGGUACACAU